UUUUCUAGACUCUUCAAGUAGUUCUAAACUUAAUUUCCUUUUUCCAUUGGAGUAUUCUUAUAUAUCCCAUGACUUGCAAAAGAGGGAAACAACAUCAGGCACAUUGCAUGCAAUCCUUCCCCCCCCAACCCCUUUUUGCAGUGCACUGUUUUCCAUGGCUUUUUAGCUCACUGACUUCUAAGCACAGAAAAGUAAAGCAGUGAUAUCUCUGAUUCCCCUUCCCCAUACCCGAGCGUUCUUUCUCCCUUUUUCUUUUCUUCAUUUUAAUUUCUUUCUGUGGAAUCAUUAGUAAGAUAUAGUGCCUUGUUUGAAAUGCCUUUACAUGACAGAAACGAACAGGAAAGUAUGAUAAUACCUUUUUGGGAUUAAGAAUCCAUGACAAGAUGUUUGCAAAAUCCAAUUAUGUCGCAGCCAAAAGAUGGAGAAGAAAAGCAAAAGCAAAGUCGGCAGAUUAUAAAGAAAUUGAUUCUGUUGCCUUUGGUGUCACAGUCCAUGCUCCUGUCCACUUGUGAACAGAUAAUACCAAAAAAAUGCUUACUUUUUAUUUUGCACCAAUUAUGUUAAAAUAUUCUCUUGGUGCACAUUCUAUUCCUUCUUCAAUGCUAACGUGUCAAAUUUGGACCCUAAUUUUUUAA